UUGCACUUAAAGGGAGUCCGGGUGGUGAACUACUCACAACCGUCUUACUGACCGGGAUCUGGAUCUUGGUCUUUAUAAUAUAAAAUAGUUAAUGAAAGGGUGAGCUACACUAGUCCAUUAAGAAUAUCACACUAAUCAUAGAUACAAAAAAUUGAAGAUUGGUAAAAAUCAGAAAAAGAACUAAUAAAGCCAUUGUUUUAAUUAAACACAUUU
rnacentral:lncRNA from 1 species